GCCCGGGUAGCUCAGCCUGGAUAGAGCAUCACACUCCUAAAUAUGAAGAAAUGUGAGGGUCGCAGGUUCAAAUCCUGUCUCGGGCG
rnacentral:tRNA from 1 species